UGGGGAAUAUUGGACAAUGGGCGAAAGCCUGAUCCAGCCAUGCCGCGUGUGUGAAGAAGGUCUUCGGAUUGUAAAGCACUUUAAGUUGGGAGGAAGGGCAGUAAGCGAAUACCUUGCUGUUUUGACGUUACCGACAGAAUAAGCACCGGCUAACUCUGUGCCAGCAGCCGCGGUAAUACAGGGGGUGCAAGCGUUAAUCGGAAUUACUGGGCGUAAAGCGCGCGUAGGUGGUUCGUUAAGUUGAAUGUGAAAGCCCCGGGCUCAACCUGGGAACUGAAUCCAAAACUGGCGGGCUAGAGUAGGGCAGAGGAUGGUGAAACUUCCUGUGUAGCUGUGAAAUGCGUAGAUAUAGGAAGGAACACCAGUGGCGAAGACGACCACCUGGGCUCAUACUGACACUGAGGUGCGAAAGCGUGGGGAGCAAACAGG
rnacentral:rRNA from 1 species